rnacentral:rRNA from 1 species
CAGUCGCCACGGUAAUACGAAGGGGGCUAGCGUUGCUCGGAAUGACUGGGCGUAAAGGGCGCGUAGGCGGCUUGCACAGUCAGAUGUGAAAUUCCUGGGCUUAACCUGGGGGCUGCAUUUGAUACGUGUGGGCUAGAGUGUGAAAGAGGGUCGUGGAAUUCCCAGUGUAGAGGUGAAAUUCGUAGAUAUUGGGAAGAACACCGGUGGCGAAGGCGGCGACCUGGUUCAUGACUGACGCUGAGGCGCGAAAGCGUGGGGAGCAAACAGGAUUAGAGACCCGUGUAGUCCCUGUCUCUUAUAC